GUGGAUUUCUCUAGCUUCUCUUAGAAGAGGGUGAGAGCAACAGGUUUCUCACACCCUCAGCAGAGUAUGUUACAAUGGAAGCAAAGUCUCUGGCCCAGUUUUACCUAAUAAACCAGCAAGUAUUAACAUUCAGGCAGAAAACUGCCGUGGCAUCUGGGGGUGUCGAUUUAAGAGGCAUCACACCGUCUUUCCGUGCAGAGACAUCUGUUAGAGCACCGGCUCCGAGCUCUCGCGUGGUCACUCGUGGCUGGUCUCUCCUGUGUCCUCCUGGCUCCCUCCCUGGUGGUUCCAGUGAGUGUGCGGCCCCGAGGCUAUGAAGGGAUUAAGGUCAGCUGACUGAGGACUGCCGGGAUCCCUGCACACCUUAUCCUGUAUUCCUGGCUCAGCAGUGUUCUCUUGGCUCCAGAAACCUUGACGUUGAGAAUUGCACAUCUGGUCUCCGCCUACACACACACACACACAUCAUUUCUUCCCCAAAUAAUCAAUGUUCCCCAGUUUCCUUCUCUGGCUUGAAUAUCCUUUGAAACUUUAGUUUGGUGCCUAUUAUAUUGUUUUGGCGCUUGGGGAGCAAAUUUGAUAUGAUUUCUAGUUCUGAGAACCCUGAAGCACCACUUCUUGUGGUUCCUUUUUAUAAACCUCUUAAAAGCAAAGCAAACAGUAUUCUGAUGGGCUGGAUUAAAUGAUCACUAGAAAAAGAAAUGAUCACUGCCCAAGUUCAGACCUUAUUUCUUUCUGAGGUGGGAGAUUAGGGCCAUAGCAGGCUGGCUGGAAAACAGGAUAUAACCUGAUAGUUAUGAAGAUCCAGGCCAGCGUCUGGGAAAAAGAUGGACCUAUGUAACCUGACCCUGAAAGCAACCUGUCAGUCACAGCCAGGAUGGUGGGCACAGCAGCUUCCAGGCCCUGGAUCUGAAAGGGUAUGAAAGGCAGCCACGCCUGACCUCUCCACCACGGCAGGCUUGUUCUGCUGUGUUUCUUGGCUUGCAGGACAUAUCUCUUCUUGUUCGUCUCUUUCCUUCCUUUCUUCUCUCUUCAUUC
rnacentral:lncRNA from 1 species